CUGCAUGGCUGUCGUCAAAACGUGUUGUGAAAUGUUGGGUUAAGUCCCGCAACGAGCGCAACCCUUAUCCUUGUUUGCCAGCGAGUAAUGUCGGGAACUCCAGGGAGACUGCCGGUGAUAAACCGGAGGAAGGUGGGGACGACGGGGAGUCAUCAUGGCCCUUUUUAGUAGGGCUACACACGUGCUACAAUGGCGCAUACAGAGGGCAGCCAACUUGCGAAAGUGAGCGAAUCCCAAAAAGUGCGUCGUAGUCCGGAUUGGAGUCUGCAACUCGACUCCCCCAAGUCGGAAUCGCUAGUAAUUUUGGAUCAGAAUGCCACGGUGAAUACGUUCCCGGGCCUUGUACACACCGCCCGUCACACCAUGGGAGUGGGCUGCAAAAGAAGUAGGUAGUUAACCU
rnacentral:rRNA from 1 species